rnacentral:rRNA from 1 species
AGAGUUUGAUUAUGGCUCAGAUUGAACGCUGGCGGCAGGCCUAACACAUGCAAGUCGAGCGGUAGAGAGAAGCUUGCUUCUCUUGAGAGCGGCGGACGGGUGAGUAAUGCCUAGGAAUCUGCCUGGUAGUGGGGGAUAACGUUCGGAAACGGACGCUAAUACCGCAUACGUCCUACGGGAGAAAGCAGGGGACCUUCGGGCCUUGCGCUAUCAGAUGAGCCUAGGUCGGAUUAGCUAGUUGGUGAGGUAAUGGCUCACCAAGGCGACGAUCCGUAACUGGUCUGAGAGGAUGAUCAGUCACACUGGAACUGAGACAUGGUCCAGACUCCUACGGGAGGCAGCAGUGGGGAAUAUUGGACAAUGGGCGAAAGCCUGAUCCAGCCAUGCCGCGUGUGUGAAGAAGGUCUUCGGAUUGUAAAGCACUUUAAGUUGGGAGGAAGGGUUGUAGAUUAAUACUCUGCAAUUUUGACGUUACCGACAGAAUAAGCACCGGCUAACUCUGUGCCAGCAGCCGCGGUAAUACAGAGGGUGCAAGCGUUAAUCGGAAUUACUGGGCGUAAAGCGCGCGUAGGUGGUUCGUUAAGUUGGAUGUGAAAGCCCCGGGCUCAACCUGGGAACUGCAUUCAAAACUGACGAGCUAGAGUAUGGUAGAGGGUGGUGGAAUUUCCUGUGUAGCGGUGAAAUGCGUAGAUAUAGGAAGGAACACCAGUGGCGAAGGCGACCACCUGGACUGAUACUGACACUGAGGUGCGACAGCGUGGGGAGCAAACAGGAUUAGAUACCCUGGUAGUCCACGCCGUAAACGAUGUCAACUAGCCGUUGGAAUCCUUGAGAUUUUAGUGGCGCAGCUAACGCAUUAAGUUGACCGCCUGGGGAGUACGGCCGCAAGGUUAAAACUCAAAUGAAUUGACGGGGGCCCGCACAAGCGGUGGAGCAUGUGGUUUAAUUCGAAGCAACGCGAAGAACCUUACCAGGCCUUGACAUCCAAUGAACUUUCCAGAGAUGGAUUGGUGCCUUCGGGAGCAUUGAGACAGGUGCUGCAUGGCUGUCGUCAGCUCGUGUCGUGAGAUGUUGGGUUAAGUCCCGUAACGAGCGCAACCCUUGUCCUUAGUUACCAGCACGUAAUGGUGGGCACUCUAAGGAGACUGCCGGUGACAAACCGGAGGAAGGUGGGGAUGACGUCAAGUCAUCAUGGCCCUUACGGCCUGGGCUACACACGUGCUACAAUGGUCGGUACAAAGGGUUGCCAAGCCGCGAGGUGGAGCUAAUCCCAUAAAACCGAUCGUAGUCCGGAUCGCAGUCUGCAACUCGACUGCGUGAAGUCGGAAUCGCUAGUAAUCGCGAAUCAGAAUGUCGCGGUGAAUACGUUCCCGGGCCUUGUACACACCGCCCGUCACACCAUGGGAGUGGGUUGCACCAGAAGUAGCUAGUCUAACCUUCGGGAGGACGGUUACCACGGUGUGAUUCAUGACUGGGGUGAAGUCGUAACAAGGUA